UACGGAGGGUGCAAGCAUUAAUCGGAUUUAUUGGGCGUAAAGGGCGCGUAGGCGGAAGGAGAAGUCAGAUGUGAAAUCCCGGGGCUCAACCUCGGAACGGCAUUUGAAACUCUCCAUCUAGAGGAUGGACGGAGAAAACGGAAUUCCGACAUGUAGCGGUGAAAUGCGUAGAUAUCAGGAGGAACACCUGCGGUGUAGACGGCUUUCUGGACCAUUGUUGACGCUGAGACACGAAAGCGUGGGUAGCAAACAGG
rnacentral:rRNA from 1 species